rnacentral:misc_RNA from 1 species
GAAAUAUUUGAAGAAAAACAAAGUUAAUUUAAAAAUAAAUAGAAUUAUUAAUAUUGUUGUUAAAGCAGAAAAAAACCCUUCAAAUAAAGUGAAAAUUCAGCAGAGAAAUUGUAAAAAAAAGAAUGUGUUUUUUAAGUUCUAAAUAAUGUAUAUACAAAUACAUACAACCAUGUAUAUAUGUAUAUAAAAAAAUGUCUCAACAACAGCAACAAAAACAAAUGUUCAACACAACAACUACAACAAUUUAACUAAAAAAUCCAUUAAAUGAGAAAAGAAAAGAUAUACGGAAUAAAUGAAACAUGAACUAGAAAAUAAAAUAAAAAUAAUAAUGAAUUCAAGUGUAUCUUGUAAACUAUACGUAUGUAUGUAUAUGUGUGUAUGUUACCUGUGUGUAUUUAAAUGGAAUAACUAGAUGUACCAAAUCAUAAGAAGUAGUAGCAGUCACAGCAGUAGAGGCAUCGGAGGCAUUAGCAUUAGAUUGGAAGAAAAGAAGCAAAUGAAUACAGUGUUAAUGGCCAUAACAAAUUUUCAACAAAAAACCAUAACGCCCCCUCAAUUAAAGAAAAAUACAAAAUAAAAAUAAAAAACAAAAUUAAUCCACCAUAAAGCAAAAGCAAAAUUCUUUUAUAAAAAAGUUUCUUUUGGUUUUUUUUUUUAAUUUUUUGUUCUCGGUUUAGUUAAAAAUUUGUUUCUUUUAUAUUCAGAAAGAACAACAAUUUAAAUAAAAUUUAUAUGUGUCUAUGUCGUAAUGCUUGAUCAAAACCAUUAUCAUCAUCUCUAGCCGGCCUCUGUAUUAUUGUUAUUUUUCAAACAAACACACAAACAACCAGAAAACAAACAAAAUAUCGUUAUUUUUCAUCAUCCCCACGAUCAACAACAGAAAUCAUUGAAAAAUAAAUAAAAAUUCAUUUGUUUUCUUAAGAGUUGUUGUUGCUGCUUUAAGUUACCAACGAACAAUAACAAUUACAACUAGCAGCAGCCUUUAAAUUGUUGCUGCUGCAUUAACAGCUUCUUCAAUAACAUCACCAGCAUCAUUUAGCUGUUUCUCUUACACCCACACUUCCCCUUCCAUCUUUAAGUAUUGCUUGCGGUCUUUUCGUCAUCAUCAUCAGUUUGUGCGUUGUGGGGUGCGUAUGUACGUUGUUUAACGUACUUGCGCCUAUUUGAGGCACAGCAUGCCACUGCCUCGCCUACCACCUGUACUCCAUAAACCGUAGUAUUCGGUAUCAAUAAUGUUAAAAGAUUUUUUGAUUUAUGUUGUUGUUGUCAGUCCUCUCAGCCACCACUACCACCACGUUCACCACAACCACCACCACCAAAAAAAUAUUAGAAAAUUUCUUUAUCAAUUCACCAACAAAAAAUAUAUCAAAUCACCACGAUCACCACGUAACAAAUGAAAAUAUUAUAAAUUAUUAAAGAAGAAACAAAAAAAUAAUUUAAUUUAUCAUUAUCAUUUCCAUCGAUCGUCCAGUUGAUUUAUAUAUAUCAACUAGCAAACAAACAGACAAACAAAAAAAUCAAAUCAAAUCAUCUCCACCACUCCAAUCAAACAACCAUCAUCAUCAAUAAUUUUGUAGUUGUACUUCAAAUCCAUCCGAUCAACUUCCAUCAUGGCCACCAUUAAUUCGGUUCCCAAAAGUAUACACCUGCCCUUGACAACCAGUCUGUCGUCAGCGCCUCGUGUGCUUAUGUGUAGUGCGUCGGUGGGUACAGAAGCUUCGGUAACAUUACAAUUGCGCGAUGUUAAUUCCAAUGACUCAAUACAAUCCAAUCAAUCAUCAUCAGAAGCAGCCGCCGCAGCAGCAACAAUUAUUACAUCAACGUCGACAAAUAAUCAUUAUACAGGCGGAACAGGAACUACAGCAACAUCUGGGACGACGACAACAACAACAACAUUGGAUAAUGCAUUAACCAUUGGUUAUCCAGAUCCAGAAAUGUUGGCUGAUGUUUUAGGUACAUUACAAACAGCAUCUCUUAAAAAUACAAAUAAUCCCAGUGGUGAGAGUACAAAACAAAAUUCCUCCAAACUAACAAAUACCAGCGAUAUUACCAAUAACAAUUUAAAUGGUACGAUUAAAAAUCGUAUAACAAUUAGUAAACGCUCCACAAAUAUUAUUAAUAAUCCCCAAAAUACAAGCAGUAAUAACGACAACAACAUUAUCAACAACAAUAGUAGCACUAACAAUAAUAACAACAAUAAUUUCGUUCGUGAUAUUUCCAAAACGACUACCACAUCAGCGGUACAAACAGUAACGACCUCAACAAAUACUACAACCGCGGUGAAUAAAACCAACAGUUAUAUAAAAAAUUGUCUAAUACGUAGCAGCAGUUGCAGCAAUACUACCAACAUAACAUCAUUGGCUCAGAUAAUGAGCAAUAGUAGUAAUAGCAGCAGUAACAAUACCAACAGCAACAAUAACAGCCAUAGCAAUUGUAAUAACAAUAGUAGCAAUCAAAUCAAUAAUAGCACAACUAUCAGUUGCAACGGUAUUAGCAAUAAUAACAACAGUAAUAACAAUUUAAACCAACUUAAUAACAACAAUACCACCACCAACAACAACAGCAGCAACAAUAGCUGCAAUAGCAAUUUCAGUUCGAGCAGCAACGACAGUUGUUUCAGUUAUAGUAGCAAUAGCAGUAGCGGCAACUCGGUUGCACGUAGCAUAACAUCGUUGAGUCACGGUAGCCGAAAAGUUCCUGGUACAUUAACGACAAAUCCACCGAAAAUUUUAAAGAAAAGCCGUUCAAAAAUAUCAUCGCCCAGUCGUCACGGUCCACAGCAGUGUCAGAUUUGUAAUAAAAUUUUUGGAAAUGCAUCAGCACUGGCCAAACACAAACUGACACACAGUGACGAACGGAAAUACGUGUGUGUUAUGUGCUCAAAGGCAUUUAAGCGACAAGAUCAUUUAAAUGGACAUAUGAUGACACAUAGAAAUAAAAAACCAUAUGAAUGUAAAGCUGAAGGUUGUGGCAAAUCAUAUUGUGAUGCUCGUUCAUUAAGAAGACAUACAGAAAAUCAUCACGCCGGUGUUAUAGCACCACACAAUCAUCAGCUCUUAAUAUCCAAUAAUAAUUCCAAUUCAAAUUUAAGUUUAUCCCCAGCGACAGCAAAUGGAGACGCCAGUUCACCAGAUGGUGCCACCUGUUUAGGUACAUAUCUUUCAAACGGUGGUACAGUGGUUGAUGCCGCUACUGGUUUAGCUUUGACCGAAGAAGAACUUAAAGCUUUGAAUGUGCCGCUAAAGACAGGCGUAACUUUAUUAUCACCAACAUCGACUACAUCAUCCAUGUCGUCCUCUAGCAGUAUGUCGAAUGGUCCGGGUGCCACCAUAACUCUGACCGAUAAUAGUGGUAAUUUAGAUGGAGAAGGUUUGACGCGAGAACAGCUGGAUUUGAUAAGUAAAAUAAUGAGACAAACUAAACAAACCACUGCACAAGUGACAGUAUCUUCGCCAACCAGUAGUCAGUCGUAUAAAAUAGAUACCAACCCCCCAGCCACGGCUCAAACACAAAAUUCCCGACCUAGAACCUGGAAUAUGCAAUUGCUAAAUUCCUCCCAAAAUGUUGCAAUUACCGUUGAUGAGGUCAAUGCGGAUAAUGUCAAUGAUUCCUCUGCCAAUGCUCAAACAAAAAUUAAAGAGGAUGAAAUCGAAAUAGAUUUAUCUAAUGCCAUUAAUUCCAAUCUUUUCAAUUUAGUUAAAAUUGAUCAGAAACCAGUAGAGUGUAAUUUAUGUCAUCGCAAAUUUAAAAAUGUACCCGCCCUUAAUGGUCACAUGCGUUUACAUGGCGGCUACUUUAAAAAGGAUCCAGAAACCAAAAAGAGUGAAAAGAAGGAGAACAGUGGUCCUCCCUUGCAGACAGCUAGUAUUGGUGUAAGAGCCUUGAUUGAAGAAAAGAUAAUUAGUAAGCGAAGUAAAGAUUUAAAUAAGGGUGCCUUUGUAGUCCCCGCACCACCCACAAGUAGUAACCAAAGUAAUACCACUACUAUACGUAGAUCCAUUAGUGAUUUGGAUAGUUUCCUUAACCCCAAGACACAACCGAACAGUACAACUACAACAAAUCAACAACAAAAUUCCACACAACAACUGCAACCGCAGCAGCAGCAACAAUUACCAGCGGUUACAACUAUUAAAAAUAAUCCCAAAUCAAAUAUUAAUGUACAAGAUAUAAACUUGCCACAAAGUAUCGAAAUCUAUAGUACUAAACAACAACAGCUGCAAACCCAACAGCAACAACAUCAUCAUCAACAGCAACAAAAGACAAUGAAUAAUAUUGGGGUGGGUACCACAGCCACCACCCUAAAUGCCGAACGUAGUGCAACGAAAAUAACUACAACAACAGCAGCAACGAUUAAUACAACGACAACACGAAGUACAUCAACCGAUCCAAAAGAUUCGACUUUAAUCGAAUUACUGAAACGGGGAACACGCAUAGCAGUCACCCAAAAACAGCCCAACAAUAACACACCAUUGGGUGGUGUAACCCGCCAGAUUAUAACGAAUAAAAAUAAUUGUAGUGUCAUUAUACCCUCGGAAGUCCAGGUGGUAUCGACGAAGGGCAAACUUAAGAAAGACGAUCAUAUACAAAUGUCAAAUGCCACCAAUGUAACCCUGCCCGAUGGCACUCCUUUAUCACUGACUAUAGCCCAAGGUGCGGAUAGCAACAGUGAGGUCUACACCGUCACCUAUACGAGUGAUGGCUCGGCUUUAUUUGGUGAAAACGAGGUUUAUAAUGUAAGUGAAGCCGAGAUGUUGUUACAAACUGUCGAUACCAUGCAGUUAUUGAAUGACGCUGGAGACAAUUUAAAACCUGAACAUUCCGAACAAUUUGAGGUCUUGGAUAGUAAAAUUGAGCAGCAGAAUUGUGUGGAUCCACAGCAGCAACAGCAACAACUCCACCAGCAGCAGCAGUUGCAACAAAACUCAAAUCAGUGUCAAACUACACAAACUUUACCAAACUUCCAACAUUUCCAUUCCAAAGAACUAAUCAUACAAAAUCCAACGAUGAUCAAUCACCAGCAGAUUAGAACAAAUACUUUGUCUCUGCCACAAGAUAUGAAGAAUCAAUUUGCCUCCAGCCUCAAUUCACCCAUACAUUCUCCUCUAGCUUAUCCAACACCACCCUCAAGUCAUGAAAAUGUUACACAGACCUCCCCCUAUAUAGAGGACAAUCAUCACUUUAACGAUGCACCAAAUAUCUUCUUCAGUGAGUCAUUAAUUUCCUCCAAUAAUGCCGGAGAAAGUGAAAAUGACAAAAUUAUGAAAUUGAAAAGUGUGCUCGAAGAUAAUUCCUUUGAUUCCAAUAUUAAGGUGGAAGAUUUACUAAAUGGUACAGAUCCCGAUACGGAAUGUGAUUUGCGAGAAUUUGCCGAAGCAAAUCUUUCCUUCCUCGAUGAGGAUCAAGAAUUUCUAAAUGAUUCUCGUAAUGCUACAUCACCGCUCUCAGAAUCAUUCUUUACCAGUGGUAUAGGCACUGCUGAGGAGGUGAAAGAAGUGUUGCGUGAGGUCUUAACCGAAGAUCAGCUAAAUUUGAAUUGUGAAAAUCAGGGAGAAAAUAUAAUAGAUUUAUAUUAUUUACCCGGUCUAAGUUUACAAUCACAAAUGAUGCCCAAUUCCGAAGAUCCUCUAUUGUCAUCUUCACCGCGAGAUUUUGGCCAACAGCAAAAAUUGCAAAAUCCCAUGCCUCAGCAGCAGCAACAGAAUCAGCCACAAACGCAACAACAACAGCAACUACCACAAAUCCAACACAUUCCUCAUCAACAGCCACAACAACAGAUAAUACAAUACAACAAUCAGCAACAGCUCACACAUCCAGCUCAAACAGUUAAAAUAUCCUUAGAUACAAAUGCACAAACUUCUAGUGGUUCCACUAAUUCCAACUCCGAAAUAAAUCAAUUGAUUUUGAAUAUACCCUCGAAUGUCAUACAGAAUUCGUGCAAUACAAACUCUGCAAAUUCCUCUUCCUCCUCCUCCUCCUCAUCAUCAACAACUACUUUACACUAUAAUGUACAAAAUUUACCACAAGUACAAAAUCAAUCUAAUAUUCAACAACACCCACAACUUAUUAUGCAGCAGCAACAACAACAACAUCAGACACAAUAUCUGACAUCCACAACCAUAAACUCACUUAAUGAGGCCUUAAUGCAGCCUAUAAUCUAUACUAGUGGUACCACCGAUAAAAUGGAACUAAAAUUAGAUAACAACCCCAACACUACUAACCCACAAUUGCAAAAUAUUACUAGUCUCAAUAAACCCCUAGAAAUUGUGAAAAAUUCUGCAUCCUCUAGUCACAUUAUAUUUCCUCAACAAACUCACUCCUCGACUUCGACUGUAAGCACUUCCUUGCAGCCACUAUCUAAUCAAACCAACUCUAUAUUGAAAAGACGUUUAAAAGGUCAUUCCUCAUUGGAGUCUACAUCAACACAUCCUUCUUAUUCCAAAUAUCAGGCGUUGUCGCCCUACAAAUCAAAAUUGCGCAAACCUUCACGCACCCAUUAUACACCGGCUCCGAUACUGAAUCCCGAGCGUAAGGGUCAUGGUUUAUAUUGUAAUGUUUUAAAACAAUUGGGUUGUUCCCUCUUGAGUUUCGUCAAUUUCGAUGAUGAUUUUGAUGAUCCAGUGGGUUUGGUAGAUUUUUCCGAUGAAUCGAAAGUGAAUUUGGGUUCUGCUUAUCAAGCCUCUAUACCUGCAUUUAAUGAAAACGUCUGCUCAACAUCGGCUAUCGAGGAAACGGUUGGUUGUGAUCUUAUGUGGAAUCCGGAUGUGCAAAGGGAUGAUAAGAUAUUAAUGAGAUUCAUUGACUUGAGUAAAUCAUCAGCUGUGCCUUUGGGCAGUCAUUCUGAAGAGGUGGCUUUGGAGGCCUUGCUAAAGGCCCAGGGUAAUACAGCAACUGCUGUGUUGAGUUUACUACAGACCCAGUCGAACUCAUUCCAAAUAAAAUGGUCUUCGCAAGAGUUGGAGAUAUUUCUUAAGGGUUUGGAGAAGCACGGGAAGGAGUUUAGUAAGAUUUCUAAAGAGCUUGGUACCAAGACAACUGGCGAAUGUGUACAAAUGUAUUAUUUCUGGAAGAAAUUAUGCGUGGACUACAAGGUAACCCACCUAAAAACCGAAACACCACCACAAACUCAUGCCAAUGAUCCCAAACCUUAUGUAUGCGAAAUACCUGAUUGUUCAGCGAGCUUUUCUUCUAAAGCAGCUCUGCAUGGUCAUACUCGCAUCCAUACCUAUGGCCGCAAUAGCCACCACAAUAAUCAACACAGUAAUAGUAAUAAUACAAAUGCAACUGCAACAACUACUAAUACCAAUGCAAAUUCCUCGCAAGGUUCUGCUACCAAUAGUAAUAAUCAUCCAAUGCAUAAUAACUCCCAGUCUAGCCAUGCCAACACGGCGAAUCCAAAUCAAAAAGAUUCCAAUGCCAAUAAAGACAAUACCGAAUUCCCCUGCAAGGUGUGCGGCAACGAAGAUUCACUACUCAUAGAAGUUUUUAAUCAUAAUCGUUGAAUAUGAAACUUCGUUCAGCCUCGAAAAUAACAUUACAAAUAUGAAAGUACUAUAUAAAACAAUAGAAAAGUCAGUCCAUAACUAUUUGAACGAUGUCUUAACUUAAGCAAAAUAAAAAAAAAAUUGUUAAAACAACUUGGAUUAAUUAGUAUUCAAUAAAAUUAAGAGUCGUAGUGCCCAUAUGAAGACCCAUCGUGCAACAGAUAAUGAAACAACUGUACAAAUUACAAAUAAUCAAAAUCAAAUAAUACAACAACAGCAGCAGCAACAACAGCAACAAACACAAC